CAAACAUGGCAUUGUGCAUUUUGUGUCUUCACAUAAUAUUUUAGAAACAUGGAGAUAUAGAAAAUAGGUGCAGGAGUAGGCCAUUCAGCCCUACGAGCCAGCACCGCCUUUCAAUAAGAUUAUGGCUGAUCUUCCAAAAUCAG